rnacentral:misc_RNA from 1 species
UUCAAAACAAACUUCAUUAUUUUCAAAUAUAUAUAAUCGACAAUAAAUAUUCAAAACUUGUAACAUUUCAGUAGCAACUCUUGACAAGAUUUACUAAUUAUAAUGGUAUGGGAGAACCUCAGGGAGAAAAAAUUGGCUUCACCCUUUAACUGGCUUAACAUUUAAGGUAAUUCAACAGGUUCAAUUCUCCAUAUGUCUCUUGCAUAUUGAUGAAUUGUUCGAUCACUGCUAAAUUUGAACGAUCCAGCUGUGUUUAAGAUCGACAUUUUGGUCCAUUUCUUCUGGUCUCGAUAUGCUUCAUCAACUUUAUCUUGGCACUCUAUAUAAUCAGGGAAAUCUUUUCCUACAAGAAAAUAGUCAGCACGACCAAAGCCUUCGUUUCCUUCUAAGGAUCCCAUGAGUUCUUCAUAGUUGUAGGGGCCAAAGACGCCUGUCCUAAUGAACGCCUUUACUUCUUCAAAUCUUGGGUCGGGGAUAAACUUUCCCUCGGCUCUUUCCUUUCGCAGACCAGCAAUUUCAUGAGCCUGAGCUCCGAAAAGGAAGAAAUUGUCCUCUCCAACUUCCUCUCUUAUCUCAACAUUGGCACCAUCUAACGUUCCGAUAAGGAGGCAGCCAUUCAUUGAAAAUUUCAUGUUGCUGGUUCCACUAGCCUCCAUACCAGCAGUACUAAUGUGCUGGGACAGCUCACUACCAGGAAUUAGCACUUCCGCUACACUGACGUUGUAAUCAGGAACAAAGACAACCUUCAAAAGAUCACCAAUCUCGGGAUCAUGGUUGACUGUUGCCCCUACAUCAGUGAUAAAUUUUACAAUUCUCUUGGCCUGAACAUAUGUAGCAAAUGCUUUUCCUCCAAAUAUGCAAACUCGAGGAACAAACUUUUCUUUUCGUUCUUCAGGGCUCAUUUCUUUCAUCUUCUUGUAG